AUUUCCUCCCAGUUACUUUUGUGUAUCUGUCUCCUCUUCUUCAUCCCUCUAUGUCUCUUUCUCCCCCAAGCACAACUGUGUGUGUUUAUUUCUCCUAGCAUCUUGUCUCUUACUCCCCCUCUCCCCCUGGGUGUCUCUCCCCAGCCCCUUUCUGUCUCUUUUGCCCCUUCCCUAGACCCCGUCUGCCUCUUUUGACCCUUACCCAGCCCCUCUAUGUGUCUUUGUGUCAGGGUGUCUUCCCCCAGCCACAGUCUGUCUAUUUUGCACCUCCGUAUGACUCUUUCUCCCCCCAGCCCCUCUGUGUCUCUUUGUGUUGACCAGCCACUCUGGGUAUCCCUCCUCAGCCCAUGUCUGUCACUUGAACCCAUGUUGGUCUCUUUUGCCCAUUCCAGAGCCCCUCUGUGUCUCUUUGUGUCCCUCUAGCCCAUCUGGUGUCUCCCUCUCAGCCCCUUUUGUUAUGGGCAAAUGCAAAUAUUACAAGUUUUAGAAUGAAAUGUUGUAUUUCUUAAACUGUGUACUUUGUCUUUAAGAAUAAUUGCAAAUUGACAAGGUGUUAGAAAUUGAACAUAUUGUUUUUCAUAGAUGUUUCUUUAAGCAAUAAGCUCAGCGCAUAAUAUGUUUGCGCCAUUUUGUCCCAGACGAAUUACAAUAACAAUAAUACAUAAACAAGCUUCAAGGCUAUACUACGACUCUUUCAAUACACAAUAUACUGUGGUAACCC